rnacentral:rRNA from 1 species
UACGUAGGUGACAAGCGUUGUCCGGAUUUACUGGGCGUAAAGAGCGCGCAGGCGGUCGAUCAAGUCGAGUGUGAAAUCCCCCGGCUCAACCGGGGAAUGGCGCUCAAAACUACUGAGCUUGAGGGAGAUAGAGGUGAGCGGAACUGAUGGUGGAGCGGUGAAAUGCGUUGAUAUCAUCAGGAACACCGGAGGCGAAGGCGGCUCACUGGGUCUUACCUGACGCUGAGGAACGAAAGCUAGGGGAGCGAACGGG